rnacentral:rRNA from 1 species
GAGCCGUAGGGAAACCGAGUCUUAACCGGGCGUUAAGUUGCAGGGUAUAGACCCGAAACCCGGUGAUCUAGCCAUGGGCAGGUUGAAGGUUGGGUAACACUAACUGGAGGACCGAACCGACUAAUGUUGAAAAAUUAGCGGAUGACCUGUGGCUGGGGGUGAAAGGCCAAUCAAACCGGGAGAUAGCUGGUUCUCCCCGAAAGCUAUUUAGGUAGCGCCUCGUGAAUUCAUCUCCGGGGGUAGAGCACUGUUUCGGCUAGGGGGCCAUCCCGGCUUACCAACCCGAUGCAAACUGCGAAUACCGGAGAAUGUUAUCACGGGAGACACACGGCGGGUGCUAACGUCCGUCGUGAAGAGGGAAACAACCCAGACCGCCAGCUAAGGUCCCAAAGUCAUGGUUAAGUGGGAAACGAUGUGGGAAGGCCCAGACAGCCAGGAUGUUGGCUUAGAAGCAGCCAUCAUUUAAAGAAAGCGUAAUAGCUCACUGGUCGAGUCGGCCUGCGCGGAAGAUGUAACGGGGCUAAACCAUGCACCGAAGCUGCGGCAGCGAACGUAUCACCCAAGACAACUUUACGGAGUUGACGAUUGACGGAGCGAAGCGACGUCAAAGCGUUCAUUAAAGUCGAGUUGGCUUAGGGAUACGUUCGUUGGGUAGGGGAGCGUUCUGUAAGCCUGUGAAGGUGUGUCGUGAGGCAUGCUGGAGGUAUCAGAAGUGCGAAUGCUGACAUAAGUAACGAUAAAGCGGGUGAAAAGCCCGCUCGCCGGAAGACCAAGGGUUCCUGUCCAACGUUAAUCGGGGCAGGGUGAGUCGACCCCUAAGGCGAGGCCGAAAGGCGUAGUCGAUGGGAAACGGGUUAAUAUUCCCGUACUUGGUGUUACUGCGAAGGGGGGACGGAGAAGGCUAUGUUGGCCGGGCGACGGUUGUCCCGGUUUAAGCGUGUAGGUGUGUGUUCCAGGUAAAUCCGGUUCACUUUAACACUGAGGCGUGACGACGAGGCACUACGGUGCU